GAUGAACGCUGGCGGCGUGCUUAACACAUGCAAGUCGAACGAUGAAGCCCAGCUUGCUGGGUGGAUUAGUGGCGAACGGGUGAGUAACACGUGAGUAACCUGCCCUUAACUCUGGGAUAAGCCUGGGAAACUGGGUCUAAUACCGGAUAGGAGCGUCCACCGCAUGGUGGGUGUUGGAAAGAUUUAUCGGUUUUGGAUGGACUCGCGGCCUAUCAGCUUGUUGGUGAGGUAAUGGCUCACCAAGGCGACGACGGGUAGCCGGCCUGAGAGGGUGACCGGCCACACUGGGACUGAGACACGGCGCAGACUCCUACGGGAGGCAGCAGUGGGGAGUAUUGCACAAUGGGCGCAAGCCUGAGGCAGCGACGCCGCGUGAGGGAUGACGGCCUUCGGGUUGUAAACCUCUUUCAGUAGGGAAGAAGCGAAAGUGACGGUACCUGCAGAAGAAGCACCGGCUAACUACGUG
rnacentral:rRNA from 1 species